GCUCAGUUGGAUUAAGAGCUUGCUCUUAUGAAGUUAGCGGCGGACGGGUGAGUAACACGUGGGUAACCUGCCCAUAAGACUGGGAUAACUCCGGGAAACCGGGGCUAAUACCGGAUAACAUUUUGAACUGCAUGGUUCGAAAUUGAAAGGCGGCUUCGGCUGUCACUUAUGGAUGGACCCGCGUCGCAUUAGCUAGUUGGUGAGGUAACGGCUCACCAAGGCAACGAUGCGUAGCCGACCUGAGAGGGUGAUCGGCCACACUGGGACUGAGACACGGCCCAGACUCCUACGGGAGGCAGCAGUAGGGAAUCUUCCGCAAUGGACGAAAGUCUGACGGAGCAACGCCGCGUGAGUGAUGAAGGCUUUCGGGUCGUAAAACUCUGUUGUUAGGGAAGAACAAGUGCUAGUUGAAUAAGCUGGCACCUUGACGGUACCUAACCAGAAAGCCACGGCUAACUACGUGCCAGCAGCCGCGGUAAUACGUAGGUGGCAAGCGUUAUCCGGAAUUAUUGGGCGUAAAGCGCGCGCAGGUGGUUUCUUAAGUCUGAUGUGAAAGCCCACGGCUCAACCGUGGAGGGUCAUUGGAAACUGGGAGACUUGAGUGCAGAAGAGGAAAGUGGAAUUCCAUGUGUAGCGGUGAAAUGCGUAGAGAUAUGGAGGAACACCAGUGGCGAAGGCGACUUUCUGGUCUGUAACUGACACUGAGGCGCGAAAGCGUGGGGAGCAAACAGGAUUAGAUA
rnacentral:rRNA from 1 species